AGAAUUCCAGAAUCUUGGGACAUUGUUGGCCUGACUGAUAGCCACAGACCUCCCCUGUGGAGGCUGUUGGGGAAGUAACUUCAACAGGAGCCAGGGGUCCAGGACACAUGAUCUAAUGCCUUCCAUCCCAUAUAAAAUCUCCAUUCUCCUAUUGAUCAUUUGUAACUUUUAGGACAACCACAGAGAGUCGUCCUUCCUUAAUACUCAGGAAUAAAUUUGGCGUGAUAGAACCACCACCAGAUGAAAUUAUUUUUCUGCCACCACCAGUUGAUGUAAUUGUGGUAUAAUGGGGCUGCCAAAGUAGCGAACCCUGGGAUCCAGAGUCCACAGAAUCCCACAGUCCCCAGGAAUUCUCUUACCUGCCACCAGAAGGUCAUCUACAUAUUGCAAAAGAGUACCUGGGGGAUUGUUGGCCCAGAAAGAGGCAAGAUCAUGAUGUAGAGCUUCAUCAAACAAGAUUGAACCAGCAUCAGAUGAUGUUCUGCCAGCAUUAUUUUUUGUAAUUCUAAAAUCUGCAUUCUGCUAUUGAUCAUUUGUAACUUUUUGGACAUCCACAGCUAAGUAACCAUACCAUUAUGAUACUCCUGUGAGCUGCCUACGUUCUACAACCACAGCUCUCUGAUAACUGUAGUCUCCCCUCCCCCAGCCUGAAACCUGCUUGCUCAGGGGUGGAGCUUCCUGUUCAUUCGUUCUGCCACGCCC